UUGGAGCUAACAGCACCUAAGAUCUGGAUGAUGUUAGCAGGAUGUCCAAGAAAAGCUUCUAAGCUUUGAAGCACACGUGACCGUACUAAAACUGACACAGGUAGGCGAGAUGAGAAGUCUCAGGCGCUCGGGAGAACGGUGGUUAAGGAACUCUGCAAAUUGGCCCCGUAAGUUCGCGAUAAGGGGCGCCCAAGCAAUUGGGCCACAGAAAAUCGGCACUAGCGACUGUUUAUCAAAAACACAGGACGCUGCUAACACGUAAGUGGAUGUAUAGCGUCUGACGCCUGCCCGGUGCUGGUAGGUUAAGGAAGGCGGUUAGCUCUUCGGAGUGAAGCUGGCGACCGAAGCCCCAGUAAACGGCGGCCCUAACUGUGAGGGUCCUAAGGUAGCGAAGUUCCUUGUCGGGUAAGUUCCGACCUGCAUGAAAGGCGUAACGACUGGUGCACUGUCUCAACCACCGACCCGGUGAAAUUGUAGUCGUGGUGAAGAUGCCACGUACCCGCGGUUAGACGGAAAGACCCCAUGAACCUUCACUGUAGGCUGAUAUUGGGCUGAGGUAUGUCUUGUGUAGUAUAGCUGGGAGGCUGUGAAACGGGCGCGCUAGCGUUCGUGGAGCCAUCGUUGAAAUACCAGCCUGGAUAUGCUUUAGUUCUAACCUUGUCCCAUGAAACUGGGCAGGGAACAGUGUCAGUUGGGCAGUUUGACUGGGGCGGUCUCCUCCUAAAAAGUAACGGAGGAGUUCAAAGGUACCCUCAGCCUGGUCGGCAAUCAGGCAAAGAGCGUAAAGGUAUAAGGGUGCUUAACUGCGAGACAAAUGAGUCGAGCAGAUACGAAAGUAGGACUUAGUGAUCCGGUGAUUCCGAAUGGAAGGGUCAUCGCUCAUCAGAUAAAAGGUACUCUGGGGAUAACAGGCUUAUCGCAUCCGAGCGUCACAGCGGCGAUGCGGUUUGGCACCUCGAUGUCGGCUCAUCACAUCCUGGGGGUGAAGAAGCUCCCAAGGGUUUGGCUGUUCGCCAAUGAAAGUGGUACGUGAGCUGGGUUCAGACCGUCGUGAGACAGGUCGGUCCCUAUCUGCCGUGGGCGUUCGAAACUUGAGGAGGUUCAUCAUUAGUACGAAAGGAUUUUGAUGGACGUAGCUCUGGUGUACCAGUUGUCACGCUAGUGGCACGGCUGGAUAGCUAACUACGGAAAGGAUAAACGCUGAAAGCAUCUAAGCGUGAAGCCCUCUCCAAGAUUAGGUUUCGUAAGUGAUUCGUCACGAAAGUCCCCUGGAAGACUACCAGGUUGAUAGGCCAGAUGUGUAAGCACCGUAAGGUGUUCAGCUAACUGGUACUAAUGGACGAAAGCUUGACCAC
rnacentral:rRNA from 1 species